rnacentral:rRNA from 1 species
UACAGAGGUCUCAAGCGUUGUUCGGAUUCAUUGGGCGUAAAGGGUGUGUAGGUGGCGCGCUAAGUCGGGUGUGAAAUUUCGGAGCUUAACUCCGAAACUGCAUUCGAUACUGGCGUGCUUGAGGACUGGAGAGGAGACUGGAAUUCAUGGUGUAGCGGUGAAAUGCGCAGAUAUCGGGAAGAACACCCGUGGCGAAGGCGGUUCUCUGGGACGGUACUGACGCUGAGACGCGAAAGCGUGGGGAGCGAACAGG